rnacentral:misc_RNA from 1 species
GAUGAAGAACGUAGCGAAAUGCGAUAAGUAAUGUGAAUUGCAGAAUUCCGUGAAUCAUCGAGUCUUUGAACGCAAGUUGCGCCCGAAGCCAUCAGGUUGAGGGCACGUCUGCCUGGGCGUCAUAUAUCGUUGCCCAAUGCCUAUUGCAGUGCAAUAGGAAUUUCUAGGGCGAAUGAUGGCUUCCCGUGAGCGUUGUUGCCUCGCGGUUGGUUGAAAAUCGAGUCCUUGGUAGGGUGUGCCAUGGUAGAUGGUGGUCGAGUUAGAACGAUACCGAUCAUGUGCAUGCUCCCCAAAAUAUGGCCUCUAUGACCCACACGCGUCUUUUGACGCUCAUGACGAGACCUCAGGUCAGGCGGGGCUACCCGCUGAAUUUAAGCAUAUCAAUAAGCGGAGGA